rnacentral:rRNA from 1 species
UACGUAGGGCGCAAGCGUUAUCCGGAAUUAUUGGGCGUAAAGAGCUCGUAGGCGGUCUGUCGCGUCGGCUGUGAAAACCCGAGGCUCAACCUCGGGCCUGCAGUCGAUACGGGCAGACUAGAGUGCUGUAGGGGAGACUGGAAUUCCUGGUGUAGCGGUGAAAUGCGCAGAUAUCAGGAGGAACACCGGUGGCGAAGGCGGGUCUCUGGACAGUUCCUGACACUGAGGCACGAAGGCCAGGGGAGCAAACGGG